rnacentral:rRNA from 1 species
UGGGGAAUAUUGGACAAUGGGCGAAAGCCUGAUCCAGCAAUGCCGCGUGUGUGAAGAAGGUCUUCGGAUUGUAAAGCACUUUCGACGGGGACGAUGAUGACGGUACCCGUAGAAGAAGCCCCGGCUAAUUUCGUGCCGG